UGGGGUAUAUUGCACAAUGGGCGAAAGCCUGAUGCAGCGACGCCGCGUGGGGGAUGAAGGCCUUCGGGUUGUAAACUUCUUUUGCUCUGAACAAGGCAUGCUAAUGGGUGUGUUGAGUGUAGGGGUUGAUUAGCGCCGGCUAACUACGUGCCAGCAGCCGCGGUAAUACGUAGGGCGCGAGCGUUGUCCGGAAUUAUUGGGCGUAAAGGGCUUGUAGGUGGCUGGUUGCGUCUGUCGUGAAAGCUCAUGGCUUAACUGUGGGUUUGCGGUGGGUACGGGCUGGCUUGAGUGCAGUAGGGGAGGCUGGAGUUCCUGGUGUAGCGGUGGAAUGAGCAGAUAUCAGGAGGAAUACCGGUGGCGAAGGCGGGUCUCUGGGCUGUUACUGACACUGAGGAGCGAAAGCAUGGGGAGCGAACAGG
rnacentral:rRNA from 1 species